rnacentral:rRNA from 1 species
UGGGGAAUAUUGCGCAAUGGGCGGAAGCCUGACGCAGCGACGCCGCGUGAGGGAUGACGGCCUUCGGGUUGUAAACCUCUUUCAGCAGGGACGAAGCGCAAGUGACGGUACCUGCAGAAGAAGCACCGGCCAACUACGUGCCAGCAGCCGCGGUAAGACGUAGGGUGCGAGCGUUGUCCGGAUUUAUUGGGCGUAAAGAGCUCGUAGGCGGCUCGUCGCGUCGGUUGUGAAAACUCUAGGCUUAACCUGGAGCUUGCAACCGAUACGGGCGGGCUAGAGUUCGGUAGGGGAGACUGGAAUUCCUGGUGUAGCGGUGAAAUGCGCAGAUAUCAGGAGGAACACCGGUGGCGAAGGCGGGUCUCUGGGCCGAUACUGACGCUGAGGAGCGAAAGCGUGGGGAGCGAACA